GUUCACAACAGAAAAAACAACAACCCCUGAGAAUUACUGCUAAAUCCUUCCAAGGUCAAGAUGAAAUGAUCCUUGCUGAGAAACAGAAUCCAAAGUCUUCCAAAUACUGCCGAGGCAUCUGCGAUCAAAUUGCAAACUCUCCCCAUCAUCCCUCCUGUAGCAUUUCUGGAAGCAAAGCCCUGUACAGCAUCCAAAACAUCCACAGAAAUGAUUCUGAGAUUUUAAAUUCCACCUUGGACUAUGCCCUAAGGACUGCCAUCACUUUAAAAGAAACGACUGAGCAAAUGAUACAGGCAAUUGCCAGGGACCUGGCCAAAGCUCAGGGUCACAGAAGCUGCCAGAAGUUCUAGCUUUAACACAGCCAAUAUAUUAACAGGAAAAAAAAGAUGUGACGUAAACCUUGUCUUCCUGAAAGGAUGUAUUACUCACCGUUAGUAAGUACCCCAGUUUAGUAGGGAAACUGGGCUUCUAGCAAAGAGCUGCCUCUCUGCUAAGGCAAAGGACAGUGUGCUUGUG
rnacentral:lncRNA from 1 species